AAAUAUGAGAGAAAACAAACCCCCAAAAAUGGUGCACAGUACCAUAAAAUGCGAGGGGACUAGCGUGCUGUGGAUGACAUAAGCAAAGAUGCCACCCAUUGGGAACCAGCAGAUGAGCUCCUUCGACAUUCAUGGAUGGGGAACACUGGAAGUGCAUGAGGAUCUCAUGGAUCACCUCAGGCUCACCUGCUGCCUUUUGGUAAUCAGAGUCCAAAGAAGCAAAACGAUUCAUCUCCUGUGUUCUGACCAUCAAUUACUUGCAGAGACAUGCUUUACUCUCCUACAAAGAUGCUUCAGUUUGAAGAAAAAAAGAAAUCAAGAGGGGAGAUACCUAUUCCACCAGAGGUGCCAAUGCGAACAAUGGUUAUGUUGGAACACUUGGCAUGAUACAACAGUUUGAUCAGCUCGUGCAACAUGAUUGAAAUAGAAGGAAUGCCCAUACCAUGCUGAAAUGAAAGCAGAAAUUCAUAUUCAACAUUCACAUAGACAAUGCAAAAUAUAUACAGAAGAACAUGCUGGACAAUAUCUCCUUCCUGAUUUUUUUUUCUUCCAAUUGUCACCUAAUUCACUCCCACAAAAAUCCUAACCUAUAGGCCUACUGAAAGGCUACUGCAGGUAAACAGAAAGAUUCCCACUGGCUUUGGCAGACUAUGGAUGAAGUACAAUAUUUCUAAAAAUCAUGAAUUAUAAAAUAUUUACAUUCUCAAGAGUAUAAAGUGUCCUUUCCUAAUAGUUGACAAAUACAGAAUCUUCAUCACAGAACUUUUCUUAAACACAAGAAAAACCCCAUGCUGAUUUUUUACUAACCUGAAGUGCUAGUGAAUAGUUAAGCUAAUUUUUUUCAAAACACAGACAUUGUGGUUUAGUCACAAAGUUCAGCAAAUACAAGUCCACCUUAAUUUGCAUGAUAAUGUGAUAAUUACAACUCAAAAGAAAGGGUGCAGAAUGAUACUACAGUUAUGCAAUUGCAACUUAAGUAUGUAAUCAUAUCUACAAAUUAAAGCCAGGAGGAGAAAACUCUACAGCAUGAGACUGGUAACAAGAAUACAGAGGACCUGAAACAGGAGAGAAAAGAGGCAAACGGAAAUCUGAAGCAAAGAAAAAACCACGGAAGAGAAAAAAAAAAUGCAAGAAAAAGGGAAAGACAGGAAGAGAUCUAACUGCAGACUUGGACCCUGGAGUAAAAUGGGCAAUAAAAGUAAGCAUAUUACUAUGUGUACAUUGGACAAAUGCCAUGGAUUUACAGUAGAGGCAAAGCUGCCUGAUAAAAAUCUUUGGCCUGUAACUCUAAGGAGCAGACAAUUUAUUCCUCUCACACUGUUGUAAAGCACCUACGGCUUCCGGAGGUUUAAACAAAACACGUAUGUCCGACAACUAAACAUGUAUGGUUUUACUAAAAUAAGCUUAAACUAAGGAUUAGAGAAACAGAUUGAAAUAUUUGU